UGGAGUGAAAGCUAGUUCAUAACCACGCUGUUUGGAGCGAAGAAAACUACCUGGAAUUCUUGUUCUCCAAAGAUAUGGAAUUAUCCCAGCAACAGCCGUCCUUCACUGCUCUGUCCUGAGGACCCUCAGGUGUGGCCCAUCCAGCCCCUCAGUGUUUACCUCUGUCCUAAGGACUCUCAGGUGUGGGCGAUCCAGCCCCUUAGUGUUUCCCUCUGUUUUGGAGAUCCUCAGUCUUCCCACACAGGUUGAGAGAGGAGGGGAUCCAAUUGCCUGUGAGGAGGACACGGCUCCUGGGUGGACCCUGCAGAUUGUGAAGUUCAAGUCACAGCUCCUGGGAAGGUCUCUGUGUGUAAAGAUCGUGGGGGUGAGACAGAUUCAGGGACCACACUCUGCUCUGCUCUGUACCUCUGAGUGUCAAUCCAGCUGCCUUGUGACCAGGACACUUAGAAGAAGCAUGGACCCUGCAAGAGGAUGGGCUCAAGGACAGCUUGCCUGACUGCAGCCAUAAGGAUGAAGCCUCUUCAGGUAGAGGACUCCAGGUGGGGCCUGUGCAGAGGGUUCUUACGGGCGCAGUAGGAUUGGGGCUAUAAAAUCAGUAAAUGGAAAAGGA
rnacentral:misc_RNA from 1 species